ensembl:lncRNA
GGAGGCAGCAGAGACUCUGCUCUCCUCGUUUGGAUUAAUUCUGAUAUAAUAACUGUUGGUUUAUUUAUCGGUGGAGCAGCAGAACAUUUUCCACAGACAGUUUUCCUGCCCGUUGGCUUGUUUGAACCAGUUUUCUACCUUCGGCUGAUUCUACCAGCAGACACUGAAAGGACUCUGAUAGUUCGAGUGAAAGUAGCAGUUCCUCCUGAAGGUCAGAGAUUGCAGCAUCUGAGGGCCUCUUCAAAAGAAGACAUAGUUGAUGAAGGCGUUCUGGAGCAGGACCAGAAAGACCACGACCAAGCAGCCUUGAGAUCUUAGGCAGCGUCUCCCUCAGGUCCCUCUCUAUCUCCCCACACAUCCACCAACCACUGGAACACAUCUGCAAAGUUCUGCUGGACCAGCUCAGCUUCCCCUCAGAAGAAGUGCUGCCACCUGCCAGAUGAAGGAGCCUUUUGAGAGGCAGCUGGCAUCGUGAUUGGACUGUACUUUGGUCUGUUCCAAUCCAGCUUCAGCUCCAGAGACGGCAGGCGGAACGAGUCAACGGAGGCCGGGUGGAUGAAGGCAUGCAGCUGAGUAGCAUCGUAUGUGUCUUAGAAAACAUCAUAGUAUAGCCUUUGGUAUGAAAAAACGCCAUCA